AGCGGGUGUAGCUCAGUGGUAGAGCGCAACGUUGCCAACGUUGAUGUCGCGCGUUCGAAUCGCGUCACCCGCUU
rnacentral:tRNA from 1 species